UGCGCAGGCGGGCUUGUGAGUCAGUGGUGAAAUACUGCCGCUUAACGGUAGAGCUGCCAUUGAUACUGCGAGUCUUGAAUAUGGUUGAGGUAGGCGGAAUGUGUUGUGUAGCGGUGAAAUGCAUAGAUAUGACACAGAACGCCGAUUGCGAAGGCAGCUUACUAAGCCAUUAUUGACGCUGAGGCACGAAAGCGUGGGGAGCGAACAGGAUUAGAUACCCUGGUAGUCC
rnacentral:rRNA from 1 species